rnacentral:rRNA from 1 species
UACCAGCACCCCGAGUGGUCGGGACGAUUAUUGGGCCUAAAGCAUCCGUAGCCGGUUUUACAAGUCCUCCGUUAAAUCCAGCUGCUUAACAGAUGGGCUGCGGAGGAUACUAUAAGACUAGGAGGCAGGAGAGGCAAGCGGUACUCAGUGGGUAGGGGUAAAAUCCGUUGAUCCAUUGAAGACCACCAGUGGCGAAGGCGGCUCACUGGCCCGAUACUGACGCUGAGGUGCGAAAGCGUGGGGAGCAAACAGG